UGGGGAAUAUUGCACAAUGGGCGCAAGCCUGAUGCAGCCAUGCCGCGUGUGUGAAGAAGGCCUUCGGGUUGUAAAGCACUUUCAGCGAGGAGGAAGGGUUCAGUGUUAAUAGCACUGUUCAUUGACGUUACUCGCAGAAGAAGCACCGGCUAACUCCGUGCCAGCAGCCGCGGUAAUACGGAGGGUGCAAGCGUUAAUCGGAAUUACUGGGCGUAAAGCGCACGCAGGCGGUUUGUUAAGUCAGAUGUGAAAUCCCCGCGCUUAACGUGGGAACUGCAUUUGAAACUGGCA
rnacentral:rRNA from 1 species